UACAGAGGUCUCAAGCGUUGUUCGGAUUCAUUGGGCGUAAAGGGUGCGUAGGCGGCGCGGUAAGUCGGGUGUGAAAUCUCGGGGCUUAACUCCGAAACUGCAUUCGAUACUGCCGUGCUUGGGGACUGGAGAGGAGACUGGAAUUUACGGUGUAGCAGUGAAAUGCGUAGAUAUCGUAAGGAAGACCAGUGGCGAAGGCGGGUCUCUGGACAGUUCCUGACGCUGAGACACGAAGGCCAGGGGAGCAAACGGG
rnacentral:rRNA from 1 species